AAUUAUGUAAUGACAGUUCAAUGAACCACUGAGAACUAAUAUCAAACAGAGAGACAACAGCUUAUUUAAAAUAUUUUCCAGUGUCAUAAAUGAUAUCCUGUGCAGAGUUUAAACAGAAGAAGGACUUGAUUUUAAUGUAUUGCAGCAGUUGAAUGGAACUGAUAUAUUCUAGUCUUCUAAAACAAGAAGUGAAAGCAAGGAACACAAUCUAUCCAAGGUACUCAUCUGGAAGCAUUAAGAGAGGAGACAUUUAUUUUUGUGGUUAGCAAUCUAAUGGGAAAAAUGAGAAAACUGAGACCCAGAGAAACAAAGCAACUAUUCUAUGGAUCUCUGUUUCUUCAUCAAUAAAGUGAAAAGAGUUUAAGAACAAACUCCUUUAACUUGCCCUUUGUGGGGGAAGAAGAAGGUUUCUGCAAGAAAAGGGAGGAAGUUGAAAUAUAUUCUGUACUUUUUGAAGAGAAAAAGGUUAAACUUCAAUUUUGUCAUGGGCUUCCAUUCCUGUGUUUGGAAGACUAGCCUUCAAUCAUACAUUAUACAUACAUCAUCAUAAGAAUAGAGGUAACUUCUCAGAACUCAUUUGCUCAUGUUUUGUUAAAAAAUAAAAAGAGGAUUGGCUUAGGAAAUCUAUAGGGUCUCUUCUACUUCUAAGACUAUAUGUUACCCCUCACUAUUUUUCUUUAGGAUUGAGGACUUAUUUUGUAUCUGAAGGCCCAGCAAGCUAGCAAGUCUUCCAUAUGAUUAGAAGAACACUUCUACUAACUAGCUAUAACACCUUAAAUAAGUUACUUCAUUCCAUUCUGUCCUUGUUUCUCUACUUAUAAAAUGGGAAUGUAA